AUUGAACGCUGGCGGCAGGCUUAACACAUGCAAGUCGAGCGGUAACACUUCGGGUGACGAGCGGCGGACGGGUGAGUAAUACAUAGGAAUCUGCCUAGUAGUGGGGGACAACGUAGGGAAACUUACGCUAAUACCGCAUACAUCCUACGGGGGAAAGCAGGGGAUCUUCGGACCUUGCGCUAUUAGAUGAGCCUAUGUCGGAUUAGCUAGUUGGUGAGGUAAAGGCUCACCAAGGCGACGAUCCGUAGCUGGUCUGAGAGGAUGAUCAGCCACACUGGGACUGAGACACGGCCCAGACUCCUACGGGAGGCAGCAGUGGGGAAUAUUGGACAAUGGGCGCAAGCCUGAUCCAGCCAUGCCGCGUGUGUGAAGAAGGCCUCGGUUGUAAG
rnacentral:rRNA from 1 species